rnacentral:rRNA from 1 species
UACGAAGGGGGCUAGCGUUGCUCGGAAUCACUGGGCGUAAAGCGCACGUAGGCGGAUCUUUAAGUCAGAGGUGAAAUCCCAAGGCUCAACCUUGGAACUGCCUUUGAUACUGGGGAUCUCGAGUCCGGAAGAGGUGAGUGGAACUGCGAGUGUAGAGGUGAAAUUCGUAGAUAUUCGCAAGAACACCAGUGGCGAAGGCGGCUCACUGGUCCGGUACUGACGCUGAGGUACGAAAGCGUGGGGAGCAAACAGG